rnacentral:rRNA from 1 species
GACAGCAGCCGCCACGGGAAUACGUAGGUGGCAAGCGUUGUCCGGAAUUAUUGGGCGUAAAGGGCUCGCAGGCGGUUUCUUAAGUCUGAUGUGAAAGCCCCCGGCUCAACCGGGGAGGGUCAUUGGAAACUGGGAAACUUGAGUGCAGAAGAGGAGAGUGGAGUUCCACGUGUAGCGGUGAAAUGCGUAGAGAUGUGGAGGAACACCAGUGGCGAAGGCGACUCUCUGGUCUGUAACUGACGCUGAGGAGCGAAAGCGUGGGGAGCGAACAGGAUUAGAUACCCCUGUAGUCCCUGUCUCUUAUAC